UACGUAGGUGGCAAGCGUUGUCCGGAAUUAUUGGGCGUAAAGCGCUCGCAGGCGGUCUUUUAAGUCUGAUGUGAAAUCUCGUGGCUUAACCACGAACGGUCAUUGGAAACUGGAGGACUUGAGUACAGAAUAGGAGAGUGGAAUUCCACGUGUAGCGGUGAAAUGCGUAGAGAUGUGGAGGAACACCAGUGGCGAAGGCGACUCUCUGGUCUGUAACUGACGCUGAGGAGCGAAAGCGUGGGGAGCAAACAGG
rnacentral:rRNA from 1 species